GAUGAACGCUGGCGGCGUGCCUAAUACAUGCAAGUCGAGCGAGCAGACGAGGAGCUUGCUCCUCUGACGUUAGCGGCGGACGGGUGAGUAACACGUGGAUAACCUACCUAUAAGACUGGGAUAACUUCGGGAAACCGGAGCUAAUACCGGAUAAUAUAUUGAACCGCAUGGUUCAAUAGUGAAAGACGGUUUUGCUGUCACUUAUAGAUGGAUCCGCGCCGCAUUAGCUAGUUGGUAAGGUAACGGCUUACCAAGGCGACGAUGCGUAGCCGACCUGAGAGGGUGAUCGGCCACACUGGAACUGAGACACGGUCCAGACGCCUACGGGAGGCAGCAGUAGGGAAUCUUCCGCAAUGGGCGAAAGCCUGACGGAGCAACGCCGCGUGAGUGAUGAAGGUCUUCGGAUCGUAAAACUCUGUUAUUAGGGAAGAACAAAUGUGUAAGUAACUAUGCACGUCUUGACGGUACCUAAUCAGAAAGCCACGGCUAACUACGUG
rnacentral:rRNA from 1 species